AUGGUAUCAUAUUGUUGCAAGAAUGGACCAAAUAAGGGUAAGUUGUUUUGGAGAUGUCCUUAUUGGCAUAGUUCUGAUACGUAUAAUCUAUUCAUAUGGGAUGAAGAUCUUGGUGUAAAAUCUGGAAAUGAAGAUGUUACCAUUAGGAACUCAGAGUUGGAAGUCAUGGCAUUUGUGGGAUAUAUGAAGUCGUUUUGCUGA